GGCGGACGGGUGAGUAAUGCUUGGGAAUCUGGCUUAUGGAGGGGGAUAACUACGGGAAACUGUAGCUAAUACCGCGUAAUAUCGAAAGAUUAAAGUGUGGGACCUUCGGGCCACAUGCCAUAAGAUGAGCCCAAGUGGGGUUAGGUAGUUGGUGGGGUAAAGGCCUACCAAGCCGACGAUCUCUAGCUGGUCUGAGAGGAUGACCAGCCACACUGGAACUGAGACACGGUCCAG
rnacentral:rRNA from 1 species